GUCACAGCCUUGUCCCAUUGCCCAGGGCCUUUCAGUUUGGAGCAUCUCCAAGGAUGGAGAUCCCACAGCCUCUCUGGGCUUCUGUUCCAGUGGUUACUCACCUGCAUAGAGAUGUUUUCCUUUGGUAAUUGUAAGGAAAUUAUUAUCUUUUCAAUGCAGUCAUUAAAUGUGAUAGGGUAACUUGAAUCGAUAAUAUUUUAUAAAUAACAUGAAUUAUAAGUUUAUUAUAAUGUAUUACGUAUAUUUAUUAUAAGUGUUUGACAGAUUUAGUGCAUAUUACACAGGAUACAUGUGGAAUAUAUUAUACAUCUAUUGUGAUUGCAAUGACAAGCAACACACAGGGCAGUGUUGUUUAUCUUAGUAAUCUUUCCCAUCUCUGCUGUAAAAGUAUCUUGGUUUCGGAUUCAUUUCUCCUCCCAGCACGAGCAGUAGCAAACCCUUCUAUUUAUUUGUUCCACAGCGGAGCGAGGUCCUGGGAACUUGUGAGUGAUUUCUCCUGCGGUAUCUGACUGCCCUCUCGUGGCUGCAUGAUGCAGGUACACAUCACCGCAGUGAGUAUCUCCGCUUCCUUAUGCUGCUGCAGUAAAUUCCCUGUCAGAAUGUUCCGGCCAGCAUAAUCUCUUUUAAUUCCUGCCAGCCUGGAAUACUCGGUUAACUUUCCUUUUUUAGCUCCAGUUAUUUGCACAAACCCAGAGGAGCUCUUUGGCCUGAAGAGCUGCCUGAGGGAGCACAUGGAGCCUGGCACCAGCCAGGCUGGAACGUCUUCCCCAGAGUCCAGUUGCACUCUGGAGAAGAGAAAUGGAGAGCUGGGGGAGGCCUGAGCAAGUUCUGAAGGUGGUGGAAUUGCCUUUCUGUCCGUGUGCUGAGCUCCGGCUGCAGAGACUGUCAGGCAUUGUUGGCUGUGAGUUCCUGGGGUUCUCCCUGGGUAGUUUAUAGGGUAGAGAUUGAACAUAUUUAGGUAUUAAUGAGGUGAUCAGAUGUGGAGAGGUAGGGAAAUUUUGGGGGUUAAAAUCUGGGACAACCUGUAGCAGAGAGAAUGAAAAUGUUGUGUUGAAACAGAGGUGAUCAGGAGUGGGCUGGAAGGGAAAGUUGUGGGGGUGAGAUGGGAGAGAGUAUCCAUGGCAGAGAAUGAAUAUUUGGAGGUAAAACUGAGGGAAUCAGCAGUGGACAGGGAGGGAAAAAUGUGGGG